rnacentral:rRNA from 1 species
GAUGAACGCUGGCGGCGUGCCUAAUACAUGCAAGUCGAGCGAAUGGAUUAAGAGCUUGCUCUUAUGAAGUUAGCGGCGGACGGGUGUGUAACACGUGGGUAACCUGCCCAUAAGACUGGGAUAACUCCGGGAAACCGGGGCUAAUACCGGAUAACAUUUUGAACCGCAUGGUUCGAAAUUGAAAGGCGGCUUCGGCUGUCACUUAUGGAUGGACCCGCGUCGCAUUAGCUAGUUGGUGAGGUAACGGCUCACCAAGGCAACGAUGCGUAGCCGACCUGAGAGGGUGAUCGGCCACACUGGGACUGAGACACGGCCCAGACUCCUACGGGAGGCAGCAGUAGGGAAUCUUCCGCAAUGGACGAAAGUCUGACGGAGCAACGCCGCGUGAGUGAUGAAGGCUUUCGGGUCGUAAAACUCUGUUGUUAGGGAAGAACAAGUGCUAGUUGAAUAAGCUGGCACCUUGACGGUACCUAACCAGAAAGCCACGGCUAACUACGUGCCAGCCGCCGCCGUA